UACGAAGGGGGCUAGCGUUGCUCGGAAUCACUGGGCGUAAAGCGCACGUAGGCGGACUCUUAAGUCGGUGGUGAAAUCCUGGAGCUCAACUCCAGAACUGCCUUCGAUACUGGGAGUCUUGAGUCCGGGAGAGGUGAGUGGAACUGCGAGUGUAGAGGUGAAAUUCGUAGAUAUUCGCAAGAACACCAGUGGCGAAGGCGGCUCACUGGUCCGGUACUGACGCUGAGGUGCGAAAGCGUGGGGAGCAAACAGG
rnacentral:rRNA from 1 species